ACAUGCAGUCGAGCGGUAACAGGGGUAGCUUGCUACCCGCUGACGAGCGNNNNNNNNUNNAGUAAUGCAUAGGAAACUGCCCAGUAGUGGNNNNNNNNNCGGGGAAACCCGGAUUAAUACCGCAUACGCCCUUCGGGAGAAAGCAGGGGAUCUUCGGACCUUGCGCUAUUGGAUGUGCCUAUGUCGGAUUAGCUAGUUGGUGGGGUAAAGGCCCACCAAGGCGACGAUCCGUAGCUGGUCUGAGAGGAUGAUCAGCCACAUCGGGACUGAGACACGGCCCGAACUCCUACGGGAGGCAGCAGUGGGGAAUAUUGGACAAUGGGGGCAACCCUGAUCCAGCCAUGCCGCGUGUGUGAAGAAGGCUUUCGGGUUGUAAAGCACUUUCAGUGAGGAGGAAAAGUUAGUCCUUAAUACGGGCUAGCCUUGACGUUACUCACAGAAGAAGCACCGGCUAACUCCGUGCCAGCAGCCGCGGUAAUACNGAGGGUGCAAGCGUUAAUCGGAAUUACUGGGCGUAAAGCGCGCGNAGGUGGNUUGAUAAGCGAGAUGUGAAAGCCCCGGGCUUAACCUGGGAACGGCAUUUCGAACUGUCAGGCUAGAGUGUGGUANAGGGUAGUGNAAUUUCCUGUGUAGCGNNGAAAUGCGUAGAU
rnacentral:rRNA from 1 species